GUGGGGAAUCUUGCGCAAUGGACGAAAGCCUGACGCAGCCAUGCCGCGUGAAUGAUGAAGGUCUUAGGAUUGUAAAAUUCUUUCACCGGGGACGAUAAUGACGGUACCCGGAGAAGAAGCCCCGGCUAACUUCGUGCCAGCAGCCGCGGUAAUACGAAGGGGGCUAGCGUUGCUCGGAAUUACUGGGCGUAAAGGGCGCGUAGGCGGACAGUUUAGUCAGAGGUGAAAGCCCAGGGCUCAACCUUGGAAUUGCCUUUGAUACUGGCUGUCUUGAGUACGGGAGAGGUGAGUGGAACUCCGAGUGUAGAGGUGAAAUUCGUAGAUAUUCGGAAGAACACCAGUGGCGAAGGCGACUCACUGGCCCGUUACUGACGCUGAGGCGCGAAAGCGUGGGGAGCAAACAGGAUUAGAAACCCCUGUAGUCC
rnacentral:rRNA from 1 species